ACCAGCAUGCCUUCAUGGUUUGGAAAAUGAUGAGAAGCCUGCUCCUCCAGACCACCCAUCCAAACAAAUCAUAAAUGAGGCAGAAGCAUGUCAAUCUUAUAAUGAACAUGCAGAUGAACACCUGGAAAGCUUUCUCUUUAACUUAACAAGAAGCCACCUUGAGCUUUCUAAACUGCUUGAUGUGGAAAUUUUCCUAAGAUAUAAAGACUUGUUGGGCCAAUGCUGCAAACUGGAAGAUCAUGCACAGUGUUUGCAUACAGGGG